rnacentral:rRNA from 1 species
AACGAACGCUGGCGGCGUGGAUAAGACAUGCAAGUCGAACGGGAUUUUUUUCUGUAGCAAUACAGAAAAAAGUCUAGUGGCGAACGGGUGCGUAACACGUGAGCAACCUACCGUGAAGUGGGGGAUAGCUCGCCGAAAGGCGAAUUAAUACCGCAUGUGGCCAGGGAAGACAUCUUCCCGACGCCAAAGCCGGGGUAACCUGGCGCUUCUCGAGGGGCUCGCGGCCUAUCAGCUAGUUGGUGAGGUAACGGCUCACCAAGGCUAUGACGGGUAGCUGGUCUGAGAGGACGACCAGUCACACUGGAACUGAGACACGGUCCAGACACCUACGGGUGGCAGCAGUCGAGAAUUUUUCACAAUGGGGGCAACCCUGAUGGAGCGACGCCGCGUGGAGGAUGAAGGUUUUCGGAUUGUAAACUCCUGUCAUUAGAGAACAAGUCACACAGUUUAACUGACCGUGUGUUGAUAGUAUCUGAAGAGGAAGAGACGGCUAACUCUGUG